rnacentral:rRNA from 1 species
GACGAACGCUGGCGGCGUGCCUAAUACAUGCAAGUAGAACGCUGAAGAGAGGAGCUUGCUCUUCUUGGAUGAGUUGCGAACGGGUGAGUAACGCGUAGGUAACCUGCCUUGUAGCGGGGGAUAACUAUUGGAAACGAUAGCUAAUACCGCAUAACAAUGGAUGACACAUGUCAUUUAUUUGAAAGGGGCAAUUGCUCCACUACAGGAUGGACCUGCGUUGUAUUAGCUAGUAGGUGAGGUAAUGGCUCACCUAGGCGACGAUACAUAGCCGACCUGAGAGGGUGCUCUGCCACACUGGGACUGAGACACGGCCCAGACUCCUACGGGAGGCAGCAGUAGGGAAUCUUCGGCAAUGGGGGCAACCCUGACCGAGCAACGCCGCGUGAGUGCAGAAGGUUUUCGGAUCGUAAAGCUCUGUUGUAAGUCAAGAACGGGUGUGAGAGUGGAAAGUUCACACUGUGACGGUAGCUUACCAGAAAGGGACGGCUAACUACGUG